CACAAUCUCCCUACCCGUCCCCACUGACCCAACUUCCCACUUUUAAUUAAAACCUAGCUAGACCUAGAAAGAUAAGGAGAGACCCCUAGACAAAGAACAUCGGAUUUGAAGGAGCUAAAAUGGGUCAGCCACGAUUUCUUUCUCUUAAAGGGAAGAUUACACAAACAUGGAGAGGUUGAACGAACAAAAUUUGGGAUUUGGUUGUUGGGUUUGUCACCUUCUAAUUUCUGAUUUUAGUUUGUUUAUAUAUAUAUAAAAAAAGGAGGGCAAGUUCUCCUAGAUUUUUGUUCUUUAGCUUCAGAAACCAGAAAACAAAAAAUUGGCAUUCCUUUCGUUAGAUAUUUGGAUGUUAGGGAUGGAUUUUAAUUGAGGUCACGUUUUGUUUGAGAUUUAUGAUGUUGUUUGCGUUUCUGGUGGUUGUUCGCCGUCUACUUUCAUCUGCUGGUUGCUAGUCUGUCACGGCUGAGCUCCAUCUUUGGAGUAUUCUGGUUGUUACUAGAUUUUUGAAGUUUAUUUCACUUGCCGCUAGGUAUGUGAUUGUUCACUUUGUAGUUUUCCCUUAAUUGUAUGAAUAAAAACUCGAAUUGUUUGCUGACUCUAGGUUUGAUUUUGUGGGUUUAUUAUGGUUGGCUACUAGGUUCCUCUCCAUCUGAUUUGUUCGGUUUAAAUGGUUAAACUUGAAGAUUUAAGUUGGAUAUUAGUGAUUGCUAGGAAUCCCUUGAAGCCUGGUCAAAGAAUUAUUCGGAAUUUGUUUUGGCUGAGUAGCUGAAAUUUUUCUCAUGUUUAAAUUCUCAGACGCUAUAAAUAAUUACUCAUGUAAUUAGGGUGGAAUCCGUGUGUUUAUGGGUUUUAUA
rnacentral:lncRNA from 1 species